AAACUAAGUGGAAAAAAAAAUCUUCUAUAGGAUGUGUUUCCAAGACUGAGUGCACUCUCUUAUUCACUCACUGUUCAGUUGUCUACCAGGGCUCUUGACCACAGCUGCCUUUGUCUGAGUAAAGAAAACUGGCUUCAUUAAGCAAGCAGACUAUGUGGGUGAAUUCUUUAUUUCUUCAAUCUUGCCUCUGACUGUGGUAUGGCCAACUGCUUGAGUUCCUGCUUUUCUCAGAAAAGAUGGAAAUGACCUGGAAUGCUGUGAUGUGGCCAACUGCCUGAGUUCCCGUCUUGACUUCCCAGAAAUGAUGGGCAAUAACCUGGGAAACGGACUGUAGCUCAAGGCUAUGCAAGCCUUUAGUAUCCCCUUCCGAAGACGUGCAUCAGGAUCCUAAGACGUUUGUUGCUUUUGUCCAGGUAUUUUAUCAAGAUCAACGAGCAAAGAAACUGAGGCAGGAAGCAGAACCUGGAUCGAAAGUUGCCUCUGGAAAGCAAAGACGCUAAGAUUUCAGUCUCCAACGUGCGCUGGCCAUGUCCUUGUGGUUUGCCAGUGCAUUGGUUUUGCAAUUAAAGGCUGAAUUGGGCUCGAAAGGAAACAGUGAGUCUGACCUUGGAGGAUGUCCUGUUCUCAACCCCACUGAGUCAUCCAAGAAUUUAUGAGC
rnacentral:lncRNA from 1 species